AGGCCAUGACAUAAUCUGAGGAUGGUUUUUAUUACUUCAUAGAUGCUUCCAAGUCCUUAGCACACUUCCCCAAAGCCUUAUAUCAUUCUACUGCCUCCUCUGGUGCUUGGGCCAAAACAGAUUGUAGGUUAUCGUUUUUUGUCUCUUGCUCACAAGUUUGGCCCUAUAAAGCUUUUGGAUUUCCUUGCUGAGGCAAAUAUAUAAGAAGUAUAACACAUUUUUUCAUGCAUUAGGAUUUAGAAGUGAGGUGAAAUUCAUUAAAAAUUGAGACAGAAUGGAUGGAUGGGGAAUCGAAGACCACCAUCCA
rnacentral:lncRNA from 1 species